GUUGCGCGAUUCAGGGAAGGCGGUCAUUUGGCGACGCUCACUUCCGCAGGGCCGGGCUGGGCUGGGCUGGAGUGGAGUGGAGUGGAGUGCGGAAACGGGCCGAACGGUGGCUGGAGCAGCGGAGCGGUAACGAAGAGGACUCUGAGUCGGAGUGGGAGUGACGUACCAGAUGGAGGGGGCCGGGAGAGAGACCCCGGGGGAGAGACAGCAUUCACAGUCGAAUGGCAGACACUGUGAAGUGGAGCUGCUGAUGACGCCGUUGGGACAGCACGAGAGCGACAGGUCAAGAGGCCUGUGGGGGGCCGAAGGGCCGUACUACUGCCUGUCGAUACUCAGUGUCAUCUUGGGCUGUUCUUGUGUCGGCGUUUACUCUCUGAUCAAUGCUGUUAGGGCCCAGGAGCGAGGCGCUCGGGGAGACUUGGAAGCGGCGAGGGAAUGCAGGGGGAGAGCGGUGAAAUGUUCGGCCCUGAGUUUCGUGGUUCUUGUGAUGUCGGUUUUAAUGGCGUUGGGUCUGGUGGUGGCUGUUUCAUAUCUAGUGCGACUGGUAGAGUGAGGGGGGGAGAGAGAGAGAGAGA